rnacentral:tRNA from 1 species
GCGGCGGUGGUGUUUUUAACGGCAGCAUUACUGGCUUCCACCCAGUGGGUGCGGGUUCGAAUCCCGCUCGUCGCUCCA